UUUAAUAUUUAAUAAUUGAACAAAACAGAACAAUUUUUUUUACAUUAUAAAGUGAUCAAACAAUUAGCUAUUCUUACAUGCAAAAGGAGAUAAAAAGAAAUGGCUGAAAUUUUCAAGUUUUAUAAUUCUAUGAUCCUCCUUUUUCCACUGCUUCUUGUUGUAAUUGAUGCUUUUAAAAUGCCUUUAUGUCAUAAUGACUUUCAUUGUCCAAGUUAUUUGUGUAUGCCUCCUGAAGUUGCAAGGUGCAGUAGCGACUUAACUUGUCAUUGCGUGUAAGGAUGUUAUGGUGAAUUGUAAAGAGAGUCUUCAAUCUUAUGUGUAACAAGCAGAUCAAUAUGAACUUAACACUUUGUGAUCAUUUGGGUAUUUUGUAUUAUUGGAGGUACUCGUUGUUCUAUGUUUAAUGGUCCUAUUAGUUAAUUUGAAGUUUAAUGGUCCUAUUAGAUAAUGAUUACUUAACUUGAUUUGAUUUUCAAAAAA